GGGUCUCAAAUUUUGGAUGGUCUCCAAACAGUGGCAGAAAAUAUGGUGAAUGGUGAAGAAGGCAGGAAGGUUUCUGGCUUUCUGUUGAUUCUCUCCCUAACAACUAACAAGUAGCGGCGGAGCUAUCACCAUUAUUGCAGCCAGGAGAAGAUCAUUGCUUCUAGAAUUGCCGAUUAUUGCAGCCAAUAUAGGAGUGCAUUUGUAUUUUGUAUGUCUGUAUGAGAUACAGAAAGAAGAAGAAGUUAGAGAGAGAGAGGGAGUGAGAGAGAGAGAGAGAAGUGGGAAACCUUGCCAAAUCAAUUUUCUCAAUUUGUCAAAUAGAUUCUCACGUGCUUAGGACUUAGGAGCUCUUACCAAUGCCAUAUUUACUAACAUAGCAC
rnacentral:lncRNA from 1 species